rnacentral:lncRNA from 1 species
UGUUUUCUCUCUCUCUGAAUCUUAAUUCUUUUUCCCCUUCUCUUUCUUACUAUCUUUCUCUGGUUUCCCUGCUGUAAUGUUUUGAUUAACCCAAGAUCCAUCCAUGGAGGACUCAUUCAAUUCCCCAAAGAACAAAAGGCAAAAACCUCUAAAGCCCCAAAACGAUGGUGAUGAUUCUUCUCAUGACCAAAGAAUGCCCAAAAGAAGAUUGUCUUGGACUGAUUCUCAUGAUCAAAGAAGGCCUUCUUCCAUUUCGAUGGAGGAAUCAGAG